UACGUAGGGGGCUAGCGUUGUCCGGAAUCAUUGGGCGUAAAGAGCGUGUAGGCGGCCUGAUAAGUCGGUUGUGAAAGUCAAGGGCUCAACCCUUGAAUGCCGACCGAUACUGUCAGGCUAGAGUCCGGAAGAGGCGAGUGGAAUUCCUGGUGUAGCGGUGAAAUGCGCAGAUAUCAGGAGGAACACCAAUGGCGAAGGCAGCUCGCUGGGACGGUACUGACGCUGAGACGCGAAAGCGUGGGGAGCGAACAGG
rnacentral:rRNA from 1 species